rnacentral:rRNA from 1 species
AAUGGGCGCAAGCCUGAUGCAGCCAUGCCGCGUGUAUGAAGAAGGCCUUCGGGUUGUAAAGUACUUUCAGCGGGGAGGAAGGGAGUAAAGUUAAUACCUUUACUCAUUGACGUUACCCGCAGAAGAAGCACCGGCUAACUCCGUGCCAGCAGCCGCGGUAAUACGGAGGGUGCAAGCGUUAAUCGGAAUUACUGGGCGUAAAGCGCACGCAGGCGGUUUGUUAAGUCAGAUGUGAAAUCCCCGGGCUCAACCUGGGAACUGCAUCUGAUACUGGCAAGCUUGAGUCUCGUAGAGGGGGGUAGAAUUCCAGGUGUAGCGGUGAAAUGCGUAGAGAUCUGGAGGAAUACCGGUGGCGAAGGCGGCCCCCUGGACGAAGACUGACGCUCAGAUGCGAAAGCGUGGGGAGCAAA